AUACUUACCUGGCAGUAGAAAUACCUUGAUCAUAAUGGUGGUUUUCCCAGGGCUGGGCUUAUCUAUUGCGCUCUGGAUGUGCUGACCCCUGCAAUUUCCCCAAAUGUGGGAAACUCAACGGCAUAAUCUGUGGUAGUGGGGGACUGUGUUUGUGCUCUCCACGG